CCUACGGGUGGCAGCAGUGGGGAAUAUUGGACAAUGGGCGAAAGCCUGAUCCAGCCAUGCCGCGUGUGUGAAGAAGGCCUUCGGGUUGUAAAGCACUUUCAGUGGGGAAGAAAGCCUUGGGGCUAAUACCCUCGAGGAAGGACAUCACCCACAGAAGAAGCACCGGCUAACUCCGUGCCAGCAGCCGCGGUAAUACGGAGGGUGCGAGCGUUAAUCGGAAUUACUGGGCGUAAAGCGCGCGUAGGCGGUCUGAUAAGCCGGUUGUGAAAGCCCCGGGCUCAACCUGGGAACGGCAUCCGGAACUGUCAGGCUAGAGUGCAGGAGAGGAAGGUAGAAUUCCCGGUGUAGCGGUGAAAUGCGUAGAGAUCGGGAGGAAUACCAGUGGCGAAGGCGGCCUUCUGGACUGACACUGACGCUGAGGUGCGAAAGCGUGGGUGGCAAACAGGAUUAGAUACCCGUGUAGU
rnacentral:rRNA from 1 species